AGAUAUGAUCCAGAGUACCACGGGACACGUGAAACCCUGUGGGAAGCAGGAGGGACCACCCUCCAAGGCUAAAUACUACCUAGUGACCGAUAGCGUAUAGUACCGUGAGGGAAAGGUGAAAAGAACCCCGGGAGGGGAGUGAAAUAGAACCUGAAACCCUGCACUUACAAGCUGUGGAAGCACAUUUCUUGUGUGACCGCGUACUUUUUGUAGAACGGGCCAACGAGUUACGUUAAGUAGCAAGGUUAAGCACUUAAGGUGUGGAGCCGUAGCGAAAGCGAGUUUUAACUGAGCGUUCAGUUACUUGACGUAGACCCGAAACCGGGCGACCUACCCAUGAGCAGGAUGAAGCGAAAGUAAAAUUUCGUGGAGGUCCGAACCCACGAGCGUUGAAAAGCUCGGGGAUGACUUGUGGGUAGCGGUGAAAUUCCAAUCGAGCCCGGAGAUAGCUGGUUCUCCCCGAAAUAGCUUUAGGGCUAGCCUCAAGGUGAGAGAUACGGAGGUAGAGCACUGAAUGUCCUAGGGGGUAUUGCACCUACCGAAGACUAUCAAACUCCGAAUGCCGUCAUCUUAUACUUGGGAGUCAGACUGUGGGUGAUAAGAUUCAUAGUCGAAAGGGCAACAGCCCAGAUCGUCAGCUAAGGUCCCUAAAUGUAAGUUAAGUGGUAAAGGAUGUGGGAUUGCACAGACAACCAGGAUGUUGGCUUAGAAGCAGCCACUCAUUCAAAGAGUGCGUAAUAGCUCACUGGUCGAGUGAUCCUGCGCCGAAGAUUUCCGGGGCUAAAACUUACUACCGAAGCUACGGCAUCAGUAAUGAUGGGUAGGGGAGCUUCCCAUACGGGUUGAAGCAUGACCGUAAGGACAUGUGGACAGUAUGGGAGUGAGAAUGUUGGCAUGAGUAGCGAGAUGUGGGUGAGAAUCCCACAGGCCGUAAACCCAAGGUUUCCAGGGGAAGGUUCGUCCGCCCUGGGUUAGUCGGGACCUAAGCUGAGGCCGAAAGGCGUAGGUGAUGGACAACAGGUUGAUAUUCCUGUACUACCGAUAACCGUUUGAGAGAAGGGAUGACACAGUAGGAUAAGCUAAGCACACUGUUGGUUAUGUGUGCCCAAGCAUUGAGGCAGUCAAAGUAGGCAAAUCCGCUUUGAUAAUGCUGGGAUGUGAUGGGGAGCGAAAUUUAGUAGCGAAGUAGCUGAUUUCACACUGUCAAGAAAAGUCUCUAUCGAGGUUAAAGGUACCCGUACCGCAAACCGACACAGGUGGGUGAGGAGAGUAUCCUAAGGCCAGCGAGAGAACUGUUGUUAAGGAACUCGGCAAAAUGACCCCGUAACUUAGGGAUAAGGGGUGCCACCAUCAGGUGGCCGCAGAGAAUAGGCCCAAGCGACUGUUUACCAAAAACAUAGGUUUCUGCUAAGUCGCAAGACGAUGUAUAGGAGCUGACGCCUGCCCGGUGCUGGAAGGUUAAGGGGAUCUGUUAGAGCAAUCGAAGCAGUGAACUUAAGCCCCAGUAAACGGCGGCCGUAACUAUAACGGUCCUAAGGUAGCGAAAUUCCUUGUCGGGUAAGUUCCGACCCGCACGAAAGGCGUAACGAUUUGGGCACUGUCUCAACAACAGACUCGGUGAAAUUGUAAUUCCGGUGAAGAUGCCGGAUACCUGCGACAGGACGGAAAGACCCCAUGGAGCUUUACUGUAGCUUGACAUUGGGUCUUGGUACUACAUGUACAGGAUAGGUGGGAGGCUUUGAAACCAGGACGCCAGUUUUGGCGGAGCCAUCCUUGGGAUACCACCCUUGUAGUACUGGGACUCUAACCAUAGGCCAUGAAUCUGGUCUUGGGACACUGUCAGGUGGGCAGUUUGACUGGGGCGGUCGCCUCCCAAAAGGUAACGGAGGCGCUCAAAGGUUCUCUCAGUACGGUCGGAAAUCGUACGUAGAGUGUAAAGGCAAAAGAGAGCUUGAUUGCAAGACAUACAGGUCGAGCAAGGAUGAAAAUCGGACUUAGUGAUCCGGUGGUUCUGCGUGGAAGGGCCAUCGCUCAACGGAUAAAAGCUACCCUGGGGAUAACAGGCUUAUCUCCCCCAAGAGUCCACAUCGACGGGGAGGUUUGGCACCUCGAUGUCGGCUCAUCACAUCCUGGGGCUGUAGUAGGUCCCAAGGGUUGGGCUGUUCGCCCAUUAAAGUGGUACGCGAGCUGGGUUCAGAACGUCGUGAGACAGUUCGGUCCCUAUCCGUCGCAGGCGUAGGAAAUUUGAGAAGACCUGUCCUUAGUACGAGAGGACCGGGAUGGACGUACCUCUGGUGUACCAGUUGUUCUGCCAAGGGCAUGGCUGGGUAGCUAUGUACGGAAUGGAUAAGCGCUGAAAGCAUCUAAGCGCGAAGCCAACUUCAAGAUAAGAUUUCCCACCGCAAGGGUAAGACCCCAGAAAGACUAUCUGGUUGAUAGGUCGAAGGUGUAAGUGCAGCAAUGUAUUUAGCUUAUCGAUACUAAUAGGUCGAGGACUUGACCAA
rnacentral:rRNA from 1 species